GAGCACGUAGGUGGGUUUGUAAGUCAGAUGUGAAAGCCUUCUGUUCAACAGAAGAAUUGCAUCUGAAACUGCGAGUCUUGAGUGUAGGAGGGGAGAAUGGAACUUCUGGUGGAGCGGUGAAAUGCGUAGAUAUCAGAAGGAACGCCGGCGGCGAAAGCGAUUCUCUGGCCUAUUACUGACACUCAGUGUGCGAAAGCUAGGGGAGCAAACGGGAUUAGAUACCCCGGUAGUCCUAGCCGUAAACGAUGGGCACUAAGUAGAGGGAAUUACCGAUGUUCUCUCUGCCGUAGCUAACGCAUUAAGUGCCCCGCCUGGGGAGUACGGCCGCAAGGCUAAAACUCAAAAGAAUUGACGGGGGCUCGCACAAGCGGUGGAGCAUGUGGCUUAAUUCGAUGCGACGCGAAAAACCUUACCGGGGCUUGACAUGGUAGAAGUAGGAACCCGAAAGGGUAACGAACGGUAUCCAGUCCGUAGCUAUCACAGGUGUUGCAUGGCUGUCGUCAGCUCGUGUCGUGAGACGUUGGGUUAAGUCCCCUAACGAGCGAAACCCUUGUUUUUAGUUACCAGCGGGUUAUGCCAGGUACUCUAGAAAGACUGCCGUCGUCAAGACGGAGGAAGGUGGGGAUGACGUCAAGUCAUCAUGGCCCUUAUGCCACGGGCUGCACACGUGCUACAAUGGUCGGUACAAACGGAAGCGAAGCCGAGAGGUGAAGCGAAUCC
rnacentral:rRNA from 1 species